GAUGAACGCUAGCGGCAGGCUUAAAUACAUGCAAGUUGAGGGGCAGCAUGAUAUACGCGAGUAUAUUGAUGGCGACCGGCGGACGGGUGAGUAAUAGGUAGGAGACCUACCUCAUACAGGGGGAUAGCAUAGAGAAAUCUGUGGUAAUACCCCAUGAGGUUAUAUGAAUAGAGGCAUAUAAUCAAAGCAUAAGCGAUUAUGCGGUAUGAGAGGGGCCUACUGACCAUUAGCUAGUUGGUGAGGUAAGGGCUCACCAAGGCGAAGAUGGUUAGGGGUUUUGAGAGAGAGACCCCCCACAUUGGAACUGAGAGACGGUCCAGACUCCUACGGGAGGCAGCAGUAGGGAAUAUUGGGCAAUGGGCGAAAGCCUGAUCCAGCCAUGCCGCGUGCAGGAAGAAGGCCUUCGGUUGUUAACGUAGUCUUUAGUUCUAGGUAAAAGGGGUAGGACGGAGGUUAAGUACCCUACCGUCGUCUUGUAUGGUACUGGUAAGAAGUAAGACGACCGGACC
rnacentral:rRNA from 1 species